rnacentral:rRNA from 1 species
UACGGAGGGUGCAAGCGUUAAUCGGAAUUACUGGCGUAAAGCGUGCGCAGGCGGUUUGUUAAGUCUGUUGUGAAAUCCCCGAGCUCAACUUGGGAAUUGCAAUGGAUACUGGCAGGCUGGAGUAUGGUAGAGGAAGGUGGAAUUCCCGGUGUAGCAGUGAAAUGCGUAGAGAUCGGGAGGAACACCAGUGGCGAAGGCGGACCU